GUGUCAGCAGCCGCGGUAACACGGGGGGAGCAAGCGUUGUUCGGAAUCACUGGGCGUAAAGGGCGUGUAGGCGGUUGAGUAAGUGGAAUGUGAAAUCCCUCGGCUUACCCGAGGACCUGCAUCCCAAACUGCUCGACUUGAGUACGGGAGAGGAUGAGGGAAUUCCUGGUGUAGCGGUGAAAUGCGUAGAUAUCAGGAGGAACACCGGUGGCGAAGGCGCUCAUCUGGCCCGAUACUGACGCUGAGGCGCGAAAGCGUGGGGAGCGAUCCGGAUUAGAUACCCGCGUAGUCC
rnacentral:rRNA from 1 species